rnacentral:rRNA from 1 species
AUGAGCCGUUUGUGGUGCGCGCUCUCCCAGAUGCUCCGCCGCUGCAGAGCUCCGGCCGCCCCGCAGCGCCUGCUUCACUGGUGUUCUUCUGCCUCCCGCGUCACGCCUGCUCUACUCCGUCGCCCAGCGUCGACUAUGGCGCGGCAGUUUGGUCGGCAAUACCGUUGGUACGACGACCCUCGGAAGGUCGCCGCGGCGAUGGCGAUCGGCUUGAGCGCCGCGAUGAUGGCCACAUGCGACCGCGAGGUCGUGCCCUGCACCAACCGCUCCCACCUGGUCGUCCUAUCUCCCAAGGAGGAGCGCGACCUCGGCGAGUCCCUUUUCGCCGAGGAGAUGGCCAAGCACAGGCAUAAGACAGUGGACCCAUGCCAUCCGGACAGCGUCCGCGUCCGUCGCAUCGCCGAGAGAAUCAUCCACGCCGCCAACCGUGGCCUGGGCGUCUACAACAGCCGCGACGCCCCCAUGCUCCGCGUCACUCAGAAAGGAAACAAGCCGUGGGCACCGCAGCCACACACGAGGCACCUCCAUGGCCUCAACGGCAGCUGGGAGCUGGUCCUUGCGACACAUGGUAACGCCACUGCAGGGUCCGCGCCCGGUGGCAAGAUUAUAGUCUUCACCGGACUGCUCGAUUGGUAUAAGACCGACGGUGAGGUCGCCUUCGCUCUUGCACAUGAGGUUGGGCACCUCAUUGCAAGGCACCAGGCGGAUAUCAUGAGCAGGCUGUGGUUACCGGCAAUCCUACGUCGGAGGUUCUUACAUCGUAAGGAGAUAGAGGCAGAUCGCAUUGGAACCUUACUACUUGGUGCUGCUGGUUUCCAUCCACUCAAUGCCCUUGCAUUCAUUGGGAAGGCAACCGAGAUCGUAGGAGAUUAUACUCUACGGAGAGAGAUCCUGGAAGCUGAUCAUCCUCACCCCAAGAGAAGAUUGUGGCAUUUAUCAAACGCCAAUACAAUGGAGGAAGCGCUGGAACUGUACAGAGAAGCUACUGCCAUGGAUAAAGUAACUGAAAAAUAUUUUGUCAACCCUACCAUGUAA